GCACGAAGGUUGGCUAAUCCUGGUCGGACAUCAGGAGGUUAGUGCAAUGGCAUAAGCCAGCUUGACUGCGAGCGUGACGGCGCGAGCAGGUGCGAAAGCAGGUCAUAGUGAUCCGGUGGUUCUGAAUGGAAGGGCCAUCGCUCAACGGAUAAAAGGUACUCCGGGGAUAACAGGCUGAUACCGCCCAAGAGUUCAUAUCGACGGCGGUGUUUGGCACCUCGAUGUCGGCUCAUCACAUCCUGGGGCUGAAGUAGGUCCCAAGGGUAUGGCUGUUCGCCAUUUAAAGUGGUACGCGAGCUGGGUUUAGAACGUCGUGAGACAGUUCGGUCCCUAUCUGCCGUGGGCGCUGGAGAACUGAGGGGGGCUGCUCCUAGUACGAGAGGACCGGAGUGGACGCAUCACUGGUGUUCGGGUUGUCAUGCCAAUGGCACUGCCCGGUAGCUAAAUGCGGAAGAGAUAAGUGCUGAAAGCAUCUAAGCACGAAACUUGCCCCGAGAUGAGUUCUCCCUGAGACUUUAGGUCUCCUGAAGGAACGUUGAAGACGACGACGUUGAUAGGCCGGGUGUGUAAGCGCAGCGAUGCGUUGAGCUAACCGGUACUAAUGAACCGUGAGGCUUAACCUUACA
rnacentral:rRNA from 1 species